GACGAACGCUGGCGGCGUGCCUAAUACAUGCAAGUUGAGCGCUGAAGGUUGGUACUUGUACCAACUGGAUGAGCAGCAAACGGGUGAGUAACGCGUGGGGAAUCUGCCUUUGAGCGGGGGACAACAUUUGGAAACGAAUGCUAAUACCGCAUAAAAACUUUAAACACAAGUUUUAAGUUUGAAAGAUGCAAUUGCAUCACUCAAAGAUGAUCCCGCGUUGUAUUAGCUAGUUGGUGAGGUAAAGGCUCACCAAGGCGAUGAUACAUAGCCGACCUGAGAGGGUGAUCGGCCACAUUGGGACUGAGACACGGCCCAAACUCCUACGGGAGGCAGCAGUAGGGAAUCUUCGGCAAUGGACGAAAGUCUGACCGAGCAACGCCGCGUGAGUGAAGAAGGUUUUCGGAUCGUAAAACUCUGUUGGUAGAGAAGAACGUUGGUGAGAGCGGAAAGCUCAUCAAGUGACGGUAACUACCCAGAAAGGGACGGCUAACUACGUG
rnacentral:rRNA from 1 species